GGAAAAACCAGAGGAAAAACCUGAAGAAAAACAAGAGCAAAAACCAGAGCAAAAACUGGAGUUAGCCACUAGCAACUGCCAGGAACAACCUAUUGAAUCCGGCAAUACAAUCUGCCAAGAACCACCAGAAAACCCUGUCAACCAGGAACAACCCAUAGAAUCUGGCAAUACCAUCUGCCAAGU